UAAGUUUUAAGUUAUUUUAAACUUAGAGCCUUCAAAGCUCUCAAAGGAAUCUUUCCAAGCUUUG
rnacentral:tRNA from 1 species